AUUGAACGCUGGCGGAAUGCUUUACACAUGCAAGUCGAACGGUAGAGGGGGCAACCCCUCGAGAGUGGCGAACGGGUGAGUAAUAUAUCGGAACGUGCCCAGUCGUGGGGGAUAACGUAGCGAAAGUUACGCUAAUACCGCAUACGAUCUAAGGAUGAAAGCGGGGGAUCGCAAGACCUCGCGCGAUUGGAGCGGCCGAUAUCAGAUUAGGUAGUUGGUGGGGUAAAGGCUUACCAAGCCAACGAUCUGUAGCUGGUCUGAGAGGACGACCGGCCACACUGGAACGGAGACACGGUCCAGACUCCUACGGGAGGCAGCAGUGGGGAAUUUUGGAAAAUGGACGCAAGUCUGAUCCAGCCAUUCCGCGUGCAGGAUGAAGGCCCUCGGGUUGUAAACUGCUUUUGUACGGAACGAAAAGGUCUCUCUUAAUACGGGGGACUCAUGACGGUACCGUAAGAAUAAGCACCGGCUAACUACGUGCCAGCCGCCGCAGUAA
rnacentral:rRNA from 1 species